rnacentral:misc_RNA from 1 species
CUCUAUUUACUGCAUGGGAAAGGUUUCAACAAUAUGGUUUUAUCUUGGAUCACUCGUUCAUUGUCACAAUCCAUAGCUCAAAGUAUUCUCUGGAUCGACACAGCAGCGGAAGGAUCUUAAAGAUAGAUUUUCUCAAGGUGACAUUUUUCGCAUCUCUGAUUUACAAGAAGAAAUUUAUAAUUUUAGGCAAAGAGAUCUAUCAGUUACGGAUUAUUUUACUCAGCUGAAGACAAUGUGAGAUGAAUUAGAGAAUUUCAAGCCUAUUCCUAAUUGCACCUGUGCUGUUCAAUGUGAAUGUAAUGCACUCACUACUGUUAGAAUGUAUAGGGAGAAUGACUAUGUCAUUAGAUUCUUGAAGGGUUUAAAUGAACAAUUUAAUACUGUCAGAUCUCAGAUUAUGCUGAAUGAUCCCUUGCCAUCAAUUAACAGAGUUUUCCCCU